CUUCCCACUACCAGAGCAGCAUGCUAACCCCUGUGCCCACUACCAUCAAUGUGAUCACUAUUUUACAUUUACAUUCAUCUAACCCACUAUUCUCUCUACAAGGACACCAAGCAAACAUUCUAUACUUAGCUACAUAAGCUUCCGUAAAUCAUCAAAUCUUACGCCUUUUUGAUCUGAAAGAUCUACCUAUCAAUAGCUACAAACAAACCGAGGCAUAACUAGUGUUUAGGUUCAGUCUGAAAACAAUAAGCAUGUUGUAU